rnacentral:rRNA from 1 species
UUGGGGAGCGCGGUUAACUGCAGUCGACGAACCUUUCGGGGUUAGUGGCGGACGGGUGAGUAACGCGUGAGGAUCUGCCCUUAGGCGGGGGACAACCACUGGAAACGGUGGCUAAUACCCCAUAUGGCGGGAGCUGAAACUUUUUGGCCUGAGGAUGAACUCGCGUCUGAUUAGCUAGUUGGUGAGGUAAGAGCUUACCAAGGCGACGAUCAGUAGCUGUUCUGAGAGGAAGAUCAGCCACACUGGGACUGAGACACGGCCCAGACUCCUACGGGAGGCAGCAGUGGGGAAUUUUCCGCAAUGGGCGCAAGCCUGACGGAGCAACGCCGCGUGAGGGAGGAAUGUCUGUGGAUUGUAAACCUCUUUUCUCUGGGAAGAAGACCUGACGGUACCAGAGGAAUCAGCAUCGGCUAACUCCGUGCCAGCAGCCGCGGUAAGACGGAGGAUGCAAGCGUUAUCCGGAAUUAUUGGGCGUAAAGCGUCCGUAGGCGGUUAAUUAAGUCAGUUGUUAAAGACUACAGCUCAACUGUGGGAGAGCAACUGAAACUGAUUGACUAGAGUAUGGUAGGGGUAGAGGGAAUUCCUAGUGUAGCGGUGAAAUGCGUAGAUAUUAGGAAGAACACCAGUGGCGAAGGCGCUCUACUGGGCCAAGACUGACGCUGAUGGACGAAAGCUAGGGGAGCGAAAGGGAUUAGAUACCCCUGUAGUCCUAGCUGUAAACGAUGGAUACUAGGUGUUGUGCGUAUCGACCCGUGCAGUACCGCANCAAACGCGUUAAGUAUCCCGCCUGGGGAGUACCCACCGCAGUGUGAAACUCAAAGGAAUUGACGGGGGCCCCCCCAACCG